AUUCAACCAAGAUGGUGUCCUGGGUAUGGUGGAAGAAGAUGUUCUCUGGGAUGCAGACAUUUCCCUGAACAAGUCCAUCACAGAGAGCAGGAGAGUCUGGCCUCUUCAGAUGUGAGCCAUCAUUAAGUUCAAAUUCACUCCACCAUCCAUGCAAACUGUGAGAGCUGCUCCAUGGUGCCCAAAUCAGCACAUUCAGCUAGAAUCUCUUGUCACUGGAGAAGCUGUCUGAUUCUCUGAACAUGACGCAAGCCUUGCUGUCACCACCACCGUGAAGGUCAGAUACAGCACCCAAGGUACUUGCUGCAAUAGGCCUUUCUUCCCCUGCAACUGAGGUGAUAAUUGAAUCAUAAUACCACUGCACGCCUUGGGUUAUAGGAAUCCCGUUUCCCACUCAGCAUUGCAUUCAAGACAAAGGACAUACCAAGUCAACCCUAACAUCUCACAUCAGAUGUUCAUAAACGGCUCACAUUUUCUGUACUUUAUGCAUAUUUUUUUACUCAUAAAAGAGUCAAGGGGAAACAGCUUUGAAGAAGGAGCCCAAAUGAUAUUAGCGUUCAUACUUAUUUUUAGACUUCAAAAAGAUAGGUAUCUAAACACUACUUACUGGAUAAAUGUAAGGGUGUAUUUUAGCCAUUGUAGAUUUCCUAACAGUAAUUAUUAACUAUACAACCAUACGAACUCAUUAUUAAGUACUUAGUGUGCUUUUGACAUCAGCUCCAUCUCGAUUUCUUUGAAUUGCAUGAGCUGUUUUGUAGGACAGUACACAUCUGUCCUGGAAGUGUCCCAGAGAGCCAGCAAACCCCUCACCUGCUGGACUGUGGCUGUGUUGGGAACCUGUCUACGUUUAAAACUCCAAUGCUUUGACUGAGUGGUAUUGGCUGGAUAAAAUCUGUGGUCUUUGUGAGCUCUACAAGGGCAAAGCUGGUUAACUUGUUCAUUUCAAAGGAGUAAUCUUAAUAUUGUUAAUGUGGCUUGUGGCAUCAAGGUUAUUAGAAUUUAAGGACUUAAUAGAUUUCUCCAUCUACUACAUCAAUGGUAAUUGUAGAAAUUAGCUAAAAUGCACUACUGCUUAAAUGCAAUGGAAAAAUAUUUCUUUCUUCCUUUCAAGACUUUAAGAGGUCUGAAAUGUUUCUGUCCAGGCCCUUGCGCCUCUGCCACCGCUGUGAGAAGUACAUAUCCUGGCCAGCCUGCUGACUCAGGAGGUUGAGAAUCAGGUGCAGCAGACCAGAGCACUGCUUCAGUGUCAGGGUAGAGCUGCUCCAUGACCCAGAGAUUCAUACGAGCCAUCCCACCACACUCGUCCCACCUGGCUUGUGUCAAUGUUCCAUUACUGUUCACCGGCUGCCCACGCACCUCCAGCUCCACAUCAGAAUGUGUUGCUAGACGUCAUUGUCAUGGUGGCAGGAGGAAUUUGUUAAACUUCAAAGGAAUGCCUGUUUGUCAUAAAGCCUUUAAAACAAGAAGAUGGCAUCUCCUAUGUGGGAGGAGUGAGGUUUGAUCCUGCGGAAAAUAAACUUAGCUGACAUUUUCGAGUGCGUCUUGUGUUCUGGGCUGUCCUUGCGACAGUGUCUUGGCAGGUAGUACUAUAGUCACUCCUUUAACGUGGGGACACCCGAGUUUGGAUAACGUGAGCAGUGUGCUGGAGGUCAGUCGGCAGGGGGCAGAGUUGGAUUUGAAGGUGAGGUCGUGUUUGUGGGGCCACUGUUUUUAAUCACGGUACUAGAGGCACCACAGAGAGUGUAGAGAAAACAGAACCGCAAGGCCUGAGUGCCUUAAAGAGAGGUUUUCAGAAUCAGGACCCAGCAUGCUUAUUCUUGCUGCAGUGCCUUAACACGCUAAACAGCGCUUAACCGCGCUAAAACAUCCCAUGGGAAACUGUGACUGCAAGGCCCGGGGGAUGUUCCUUCUCAGCCCAUGCCCUGCCCAUGCCCCAAGUAAAAGCAGUUUUAGGGACCACUAGUGUCCCAGGAAUCAUGGUAUUAAAGAGUUGUUGGGUGUGGUGGCUCAUGCCUGUAAUCCCAGCUGCUUUGGAGGCUGAGGCAGGAGAAUCGCUGGAACCCAGGAGGCAGAGGCUGCAGUGAGCCGAGAUCGCGCCAUUGCACUCCAGCCUGGACAACAAGAGCCAAACUCCAAUUCAAAAAAAAAAAAAGUUAACCUUUCAAAGCAAGAUGGUUUUAGCCAUAAAUUUUCAUAGCAACAGAGGACAGCACAUACCAGUGACGGAACCGAUACUUUGAAUCAAGCCAGCCAGAGGGGUCUACACCCCCUUCCACUGCAGACACCAAAACACAGGGUGCCAUUCUCCAUUCCCUGCCAUUUACAAAGAAGAAUGGACAAAGUAAGUUUGAGGUUAACGAAAGCAGCCUCAGGAUGUUGAGUUCCUAGUCUCAGUUCAAACAGCUAUUUGUGUGAGGCUGGGCAAGUCGCUGGGGUGGGCCUCAAUCCCCUCAUCUGAUUUUACCUGAGGCGCCACCAACUCUAGGAAGUCUCCCAUGAUUGUCUAAGGCUGGGAUCCCUCCCUGUGUGGCCCUUACUCUCUUUUUACCUAAUUCCCUUCCUAAGAACGAGCUCCUUCCAGCUAAGAUAAGCUUUCUCAUGACUGCACCCCCUGUGUCUGGCAGAGGGGACAGCACCUGACAGAUGCCUGCCUUGGAGGCUGGGGCUGCCACAACAAAGAACCACAGCCUGGGGGCUUAAACACAGACGUGCAUUUCCUCACAGUGCUGGAGGCUGGAAGUCCAAGAUCAAGGUGGGCAAGGCUGGCUUCUCCUGCAGCCUCUCUCUUCGGCUUGUAGAUGGCUGUCUUCCCUGUGCCUCAGACGAUCACCCCUCUGACUGUGUCUGUAUCCUAACCUCAUCUUCUUAUAAGGACACCAGUCAGAAUGGAUUAAGGUUCACCCUCAUGGCCUGAUUUUAACUCAAUUACCUCUUUAAAGGCCCUCUCCAAAUAAGAUCACAGUCUGAGGUACGGUGGUUGGGCUUCAACAUAUAAAUUUGAAGAAUCUUAAUUCAGACCACAACGGGGUCUCACAUGUCUCAGGUGAAUGGACUGAAUCUCAGCCUGCAGUUCAAUGGGAUCACAUCCAUGUGAAUCUGAAUUGCAGCUGUGGGUUGACCUCAGCCAGUUGGCUUUGGCUCUCCUCUGCCCAGUUAUUUCCAGGAGUCUGGAAGAAUCUCAGGAGAGCUCAGGGAACCUGGAACAAACACCUACUGCUGGCCCCCACUGCUGCCACUCCUGCUCCCUCCUGAUGGCAGGGUCCCUGUCUCCCCCAGUCACAGACACGCGGAUGAGCCCCCAUCUGCCUGGCUGACCCACUGCCUCCUGAGCCCAAGUCUCUUUGGCUGAGGCCCCAGUACACACCAACACCAUUUUCAAAAUGACUCCUUCACAAUUUCUCUUUAAGGCCAGACACCAAAGUCCCCCAGACCUGUCUCUGGAACAAAUACUCUUAUCUUUUGUACUUGAACUAACCUUUAAAAAAAAAAAAGCUUGGAACCUGAUGCCAUAGACGAGCUCUGAGCUUCUGUAUAUUUGGAAAUUCUGAAUCUAAUUGAAUAGCAUGAACUUGUCUUUUCCACAAAGGAUUUGAGGCACUGUGUUUUUAAGUGACUAAGCCCACGUCCCUCUCCAGACACCACCUGGGGCUUGGCAAUGAGGAUGCUGGCGGGGGUUUAAUAUGGUCACACGGGAGCCAGAGAACCAACAAGGUUGACCAGGGCACAGGGGGCAUGCUGAAGUAUGGCUGGGACUGCAGCAAAUUCUAAUUCCAAGUGGAUGGUAAUUUCUUGAGCAUUAUGAUGUUUGAAAAGUACAACAGAAGUCUAUAUUGUAAUGUAGUGCCUUCUUAUCCACAGGGAUAUGUUCCAAGACCCACAGUAGAUGCUUGAAACCUUGGGUAGUAGUGAACCCUACAUAUGUUUUUUCUCUGAUAUAUACAUACCUAUGAUAAAAUUUAAUGUAUAAAUUAGGCACAGUAAGAAACUAACAGCACUUACUAGCAAUAAAAUAGGACAAUCAUAACCAUAUGCUGUAAUGAAAGUUAUGUGAAUGUGGUCUCUGUCACAAAACAUCUUAUUGUCUUCGCCUAUUUUCUGACUGUGGUUGACCACAGAUAACUGAAGCCACAGAAAGAAACACCACAGGACAUGUGUGGUGGCUCACGCCUGUAAUCCCAGCACUUUGGGAGGCUGAGCUGGGCAGAUCAUCUGAGGUCAGGAGUUCGAGACCAGCCUGGCCAACAUGGUGAAACCCCAGCUCUACUAAAAAUAUAAAAAUUAGCUGGGCGUGGUAGCAGGCGCCUGUAGUCCCAGCUACUUGGGAGGCUGAGGCAGGAGAAUGGCGUGAACUUGGGAGGCAGAGCUUGCAGUGAGCCGAGAUCGCGCCACUGCACUCCAGCCUGGGUGACGGAGCAAGACUCUGUCUAAAAAAAAAGAAAAGAAAGUAACGCCACAGAUGGGGGUGACUGUAUGGUAAUUACCAAAAUGUGUAGGAGAAAAACAUACUCACUUUAACCCUGACAUAUUGAUUUCACCAAGACUAUCUUUAUCUUAAAUGACAGCUUAAAAUAAUGUGUUUGAAAAACAAUUACACUAUUCAUAUUAAUACAAAGAUACUAAAUGGCGAAUUCUUGGCCGUUUUCAUUUACCACAGAAAGAAAAGGGGGCAAAUAUAGUUGGAAAAAGAUUAAACUCUGUAGCUUCAUAAGGUCCUUCAAUGUAAAGAUGAAUAGCUUCAACAUGAAGUGAAAAGCAUCUGCCACAAUCUUCUAAAAUUACUGGGAAUAUAAUUUACCAGCAGCCUUGGUGCUGAGACAUAACACACUCUCUCUCCAUUGUUACCCAUUGCCCUGAAUAUGUGGUCAGUGACUAUCAACGCGUUGCGAGUGGAGGAAGGCAGGAUCAGAGAUAUCGCUGCCCAAAAAAGCAACAAUAGCAAACAGCAGCAGCAACACAGAAUGAUGGAGCCUCCUGCCACACUCUUCAAAGCGCUGCAGCCAGGAGGACACAGAGAAGAAGGUGGUGUGGGCCUGCAAAGGACAGACUCUGAAUCAGUGCGACCCACCCCGCGUGUCCCUCCAACCCAAAUAGCGGAUCCCUCUCCCCACCCUACGCUGCCAGUCUCGAGUGAGGCUCAUUGAGAAGGGAAGUUGUAAGUUGGAGGGAAAAAGUUUUAAGAGAGCCCAUGAGUGCAGAAGUCCCGCCUCCCACCAAGGAUCUCAGCAGAUGCAGGAAAGUCACAGGCAGGAGGUCUUCAGGUGUCUUCCCUAUGGGCAGGAAGGAAAGGGGAUGUGACUAUAACCAAAUUCCUGCUCCCACCAGCCCUCCAACUACCAGCCCUAACAGCCAAAUCCAUGGACAUUUUAUCUGUCCUGACUGGAGGUUGAAGGGUGUAAGGAGAGAGGUUGGGAAAUUUCACCGGGAGUACGCGGCUAACUGAGAAAGCUGAAUAAGAGUUCACUCACCCCAAAGACCCAGAAUUUCAUGAAUUAGAGCAAUAAAUAAUGAUAUAGAUCUCCUUCCAGGGUAAUGCCUAAGAUGUAUUGGAGCACCAACAGACCAACAUCAACAGCAACAAAGUAAAGACAAAAACGCCCAGGCUGUCCAUCCUAGGGGCUGGCCUUCCUCUCAGAACCCCAGGCCAGGAAAGCAGGAAGAAGGGGGAGCACAGAGUCUGAAAGGGGCUGAGACCUGCUUUUUCAGAGGAAUUUAAAGAUCCACAUGGAGCUGCCCAAAUUAAGCAAAAGUAAGAGUGAAAUAAAUGGCAAGGCAUUCCUGCAAAUGCACUGCAGGGGAACAGUGAACACAGGGUGGACCAUGGUCUGUAAAGAAAGACAAAGAUUUCAUUCUGCAGCAAAAUAUAUAACUGAAUCCAUGCAAGAAAGUUCUCCAAAAUGUUGUGUAAGAAGUUAGUAAGAAAUCGAUUUCAAUAAAAAAGAGCUAAAAGAUAGAAAAGCAAAAUGAAAGGUAAAUUGCAGAGUUUUGGAAACAAAUUGAAGAGCAAAAACUCAUUUCAGAACGGGAAGAAAAAAAAAAAAACCUACCCGAACUGUAAAUAGCAGGAAACAGAAUAGACAAUGCCAAAAAUAACAAAGCUACCAUCAUAGAGGAAGAAUUUCAGAUCUCCAAAGGGAAUAAGAGGAAUAAAACACAUCAUUGCAUAUUCAAGCCAAAAUGAGGAAAAAGAAGGAAAAUUCAUUUUGCAUAAAUAAAUAUACCAUGUAUGUGAUGGUAGGAAAUUAAUUUCAGAAAGUAAAUGUUAUAACUCAUGAAUUUGUAAAAAUAACAAAGAUAAUUGCACUAUGAAAAUUAGGUAAAAGGGAAGAUUACCACAAAAUGAAUGAAUUGCCCAUCCUAUUAAACAUCUUUCAAUUUUCUCUCAAUAGUAGUCAACAGAUACUCUUCUGAAUUGAUAAAUAUUAAAGCAUAUCACAGAGUGUUGUAUAAGGAACCUGCAGAAAACCUAAAAACAAAAAGAUAACUAAUAAUAUAUUGGGGUUUGAAGUGAGAAGUGGAGAAUUAAUAGAAACUGUCAGGUUGAUAAAUCAUGAACUAUAGGUUGAAUUAUGUAAAAUUAUAUAGGUAACCACUUAAACACAUAAAAGCAAUAAAUCUUUCAUUUUAACAAAAGGAUUGCACAUAAUCAGAAGGAGGGGGAAAUAAAAAAAUCCAAAAGGGAAUGCAAAAGAAAUAUUAAUUACAGAUAUUGAAAAAAAUAUUAAACCAAAUAUAUCAGCAAUAUGUAUUAAAAAUAUAAGUGCAGAUCCAAGAUAAAUAAACCUAAAACAAAGUGCCUCAAAAAGGUUAAACAUAAAAUUGAGUAUAAAAUAAUAAGAAAUACAUAUUGGUCUGUGUCUCCAGUUUCUGACACAGAGCUCCUAAUACCCUUGUAAUUUCCUGAGUGAUGGGGGUACUGGGAGCAUCUUUUGUUCUAAUAUUGGUUGGGAGCAUCUUUGACUGGGUUCCUGGUACAGAGCUUCCAAUCCCUUGGAAUUUCCUGGGUGAUAGGAGCAUCUUUUGUUCUAAUGAACGACUCUUGGUGGAAUCCUAGAUGAGGGCUGGUCACCAGAAAGACCAAGCCAUGGUUAGAAGCUUGGAACUUUCAGCCCCACACCCCAUCCUCUAGGGAGGAAAGAGGAGUUGGAGAUUGAAUCAAUAAUCAAUCAUGCCUACAUGAUGAAGCCUCCUUAAAAAUUCCUAAGUACAGGUGCGGGAGCUUCAGGGUUGGGGAACACGUGGUGGUGCUCCUGGAGAGGCCAUGGCAGCUCCAUACCCACCCCCACCAUAUCUUUUCCUGUAUUUCUCUCCCAUUUGGCUGUAUUCUUUAUAAUAAGUGGAUAAACAUAGUAGUGUUGCCCUGGGUUCUCUGCGCUGUUCCACCAAAUGACUGGACCUAAGAAGGGGGGCGUGGGAACCUCCGAUUUAUAGCCAAGUUGGACAGAAGCUGUGGGUGACCUGCAGACCCACCACUUACAACUGGCAUCUGGAGCAGGGCAGUCCUGGGAAUUGAGCCCCUCCCCUGUGGGGCUGGCUCUAACUCCAGUUAGUGUCAGAGUUGAGCUGAACGGUAGGACACCCAGCUGGUGCUGGAGAAUGGGUGGGAUUUUUCCCCACACAUGUGGAGACGGGAGGUGUUGUGUGAGUGUAAGAAUGAACGAGAGAGGCAUCUCAGCAUAAGAAAUCAGUGGGGCUGAUUUUAAAAGCAGACAAAUGUGAAUUCAAGGUUAAGUAUUGAAAAUAGAAUGAAAAUCCGGUAAAUCGUUAAACAUCCUGUGGUAAAUGGAAGGAUGAUUGAAAGAGGAAUGCUGCUGACAGGGAGCGUGGCCCCAGCCAGGCCAGUGAGCAAAGCCAGGGGUGGAACUCCCACAGACCCGCCCAGGUCAUUCUCAGAGAGGGACCCAUUCACAGGCACUGAUCAUACAAACCCCUCAGAAACACCUCAGCACAUUAUAAAUAUUAGAAAUAGAACAAAAGGCAUUUUGCUUAAAGCAUAAGGUAAUGUAACUAGAAAUUAAUUUUUAAGUUAAAAAAUGUGGAAAUUUUAAAACACUCAACAAAGCUCAGUUCGGGCUGGUCUGAGUGCAGUGGGGUGUACAAGGAAUUGAUUACAAGCAGUUACAGGUUUCUUUGCUCCUUUUCCAUUUCCACUGCUGCUUCACUUCACUAGCCUUUAUUUAAAAAGUCAGCUUGAAGAAGGUACAACAAUUCAACUUAUAGAAUAUCCAGAAAAUACAAAUGAAAACAUUGCAUAUUAAGACGUAUGGACUGCUGUUAAAGCUUUGAUCAGAAUAAAAUGCAGAGCCAAAAAUACUUAUCUGAUUAAAUAAGAAUAAUUGGAAACACAUGAAUUAGGCAUCUAUUGAAUAACUUAGAACAACAACAACAAAAUAAAAGUAGAAGAGAACUGGCUGGGCGCGGUGGCUCACGCUGGUAGUCCCAGCACUUUGGGAGGCUGAGGCGGGUAGAUCAACUGAGGUCAGGAGUUUGAGACCAGCCUGGCCAACAUGGUGCAACCUCUACUAAAAAUACAAAAAAAAAAAAAAAAAAAAAAAAAUUAACCGGGAGUGGUAGUGGGUGCCUGUAAUCCCAGCUACUCAGGAGGCUAAGGCAGGAGAAUUGCUUGAACUCGGGAGGUGGAGGUUGCAGUGAGCCAAGAUGACGCCAUUGCACUCCAGCCUGGGCGACAGUGCGAGACUUCCUCUCAAAAAAAAAAAAAAAAAAAAAAAGUAAAAGGAUCAUGGCUGAAUCCUGAGGAUAUCUUAUUUCAUGUAAUGUGAAAUAAGUCAGUCACAAAAGGACAAAUACUAUAUGAAUCCACUUGUAUCAGGUACCUAGCCAAAUUUAUAAAGACCAAAAGGAGGCCAGGUGUGGUGGCUCACGCCUGUAAUUCCAGCACUUUGGGAGGAGGAGGCAGGCAGAUCACUUGAGGCCAGGAGUUCGAGACCAGCCUGGCCAACAUGGUGAAACCCCAUCUCUACUAAAAAUAUAAAAAAUUAGCUGGGAUUGGUGGUGUGCUCUGGUAAUCCCAGCAACUCUGGAGGCCGAGGCAUGAGAAUCGCUUGAACCCAGGAGGCAGAGGUUGCAGUGAGCAGAGAUUGCACCACUGCACUCUAGCCUGGGUGAUAAAAUGAGACUCUGUCUCAAAAAAAGAAAAAAAAAAAAAAAGGACCAAAACAAGAGUGGUUGAUGUUUGAUAGAGACAGGGUUUCAAUUUGGGAAGAUGAAAAGAGUUCUGGGAAUAUGUGGUUGUGAAGACUGUACAACAAUGUGACUGUAUUUAAUGACACUGAAUGGUACACUUAAAACUGGUUAAAAUGAUAAAUUUUAUGUUAUGUAUAUUUUACGAAAAUUUAAAAAUAUACAAUAAUUUUUAAAAAGUAAAAUAGAAUGAAAAUAUUAAAGAUAAAAGCAGAAAACUAAAAAUUAGAAAACAUACCUGCAGAAUUUGUUGAUGGGAAGUAUUUAUCAAAGGUGAACACACAGAACUCUAACACAGCAGCAGAGGAAAUGGUAGGAAGGCCAUUGGCAGAAAAAAAGGAAAUUUAGAAAGCAGUGCAAAAUGUUACACGUGACGGUGGAGAGAAGACAAGAAAGAGUGUGGAACUGCAGCGCUGCAGAAAGGUGGCAUUCCCGAAGCGGGCUGUGUGCAAACACAGGGGGCGUCUCGUCACAAAGAGUUUGAGAAAGAUAGAAUCUGUGGGCCGCAUCCCCAGGGGCCAUAACUUUGAGACCCCUUCCCCAACUCAGGACAAGCUAUGGCAUUAGAAGGUCAAACGCAUAUGAAGUAAACAGUAAUUACAAAAGGAGCUAUCCAUGGUGAGGUCAGAAACACUGAUAGACGGAAGGUCUAGGGAGGUUGGGAAGGGUUUGUACC
rnacentral:lncRNA from 1 species